rnacentral:rRNA from 1 species
UACGGAGGGUGCAAGCGUUAUCCGGAUUCACUGGGUUUAAAGGGUGCGUAGGCGGACAAGUAAGUCAGUGGUGAAAUCUCUGGGCUUAACUCAGAAACUGCCGUUGAUACUAUUUGUCUUGAAUAUCUUGGAGGUAAGCGGAAUAUGUCAUGUAGCGGUGAAAUGCUUAGAUAUGACAUAGAACACCGAUAGCGAAGGCAGCUUACUACAGGAAGAAUUGACGACUGAGGCACGGAAAGCGUGGGGAGCCAAACAGG